CAUAGUUUUUAAAGUGAACAUACCAUUUGUGAUGCGAAGAUUGAUGGCAAAAAACGGGGAUUGUGCCAUACUAUACGGCUUAAAUACCUCUUGAAUAACUCUUGCUAUUUUUGGCAAAUUUACAAGCCUCCGGUUAAUAAACAACAUUUGCCUCUCAUUCGACGCACGAGUUGAUCCAACGUGCGGACGUGAUAUGUAACCUUCUAUGAUUCCAUCAUUCCAAGGAAUAAGUGAUGAAGAUACUUUAGUACCAAAUACAUUCAUGAUGUUCAACUUCAUAUCCUUAUUAGAAUUUGUUGAAAGCUGAAGCAACUUGCCAGAAUUCUUAGUUUGAUGAUAUACCAUGAAGCGCUUAUUUGUAGAAAUAGUGGCAUAAGCCUGCAACAAGGAGAUUGCCUUCGAAAAUUCCCGUUUAUAGUUUUUCUCCAAAAGUUUUCGACGAACAGGAAGUGUACAAAACAAAUCAUUAACCAUGACAGAGGUACCUCU